GACGAACCGUGCGAACGUUGUUCGGAAUCACUGGGCUUAAAGGGCGGGUAGGCGGCCACCGCAAGUCAGUUGUGAAAUCUCUGGGCUUAACCCAGAAAGGUCAACUGAUACUGCGGGGCUAGAGUCCGGAAGAGGCGAGUGGAAUUCCCGGUGUAGCGGUGAAAUGCGCAGAUAUCGGGAGGAACACCAAUGGCGAAGGCAGCUCGCUGGGACGGUACUGACGCUGAGACGCGAAAGCGUGGGGAGCAAACAGG
rnacentral:rRNA from 1 species